rnacentral:rRNA from 1 species
AGAUUGAACGCUGGCGGCAGGCCUAACACAUGCAAGUCGAGCGGCAGCAUGGGUACUUGUACCUGGUGGCGAGCGGCGGACGGGUGAGUAAUGCCUAGGAAUCUGCCUGGUAGUGGGGGAUAACGCUCGGAAACGGACGCUAAUACCGCAUACGUCCUACGGGAGAAAGCAGGGGACCUUCGGGCCUUGCGCUAUCAGAUGAGCCUAGGUCGAUUAGCUAGUUGGUGAGUAUGCUACACGAGGCGAC